UGAGAAAUGACGGAGCCUUGUACCACAA
rnacentral:piRNA from 1 species